GAUGAAGCGAGGAGGUGUCUAUGAAGGGGUCUACCAUCCAUCAGUUCUACCAGCGCUAUUUUGCCGCGACGCAGAGUAUUUCCUGGCUGGCCCGCCAGGCGACGGCGCAGCGGCUUGACGUUCUGAACGCGCUGAUGCAGUGGGAAGUUACGAAACCGACCUCUGAACAUUAAUUCGCCUAAUCAUGUGUGACUGAGUAUUUGCCAGCAGGUAUCAUCUGCUGGCUUUUUU
rnacentral:sRNA from 1 species